GAGUAGAAAUAAUUUGGGCCAGAGGUUUACUGAACUAAACUUCAAUAUUUAUAUUGAAUUGUUAUUUAUUUAAUUGUCAAAUUGUUGAUUAAAUUCAAAAAAUCUUCAAAACUUUCAACAACGGAUCUCUUGGUUCUCGCAUCGAUGAAUAACGCAUCGAAAUGCCAUAAGAAAUAUGAAUUGCAUAUUUUCGUGAAUCAUCGAAUCUUUGAACGCACAUUGCGCCCUCUGGUAUUCCAAAGGGCAUGCCUGUUUGAUCGUCAUUUCUCUCUCAAACCUUCGGGUUUGGUAUUGACUGAUACUCUUAGUUGAACUAGGCGUUUGCUUGAAAUGUAUUGUCAUGAUUGCUACUGGAUAGUGCUAUAUGACUUUCAAUGUAUUAGGUUUAUCCAACUCAUUGAAUAGUUUAAUGCUAUAUUUCUCGGUAUUCUAGGCUCGGCCUUACAAUAUAACAAACAAGUUUGACCUCAAAUCACGUACGAUUACCCGCUGAACUUAAGCAUAUCAAUCAGCGGAGGAA
rnacentral:rRNA from 1 species